GGCCCCAUGGUCAAGCGGUUAAGACAUCGCCCUUUCACGGCGGUAACACGAGUUCGAACCUCGUUGGGGUCACUA
rnacentral:tRNA from 1 species